CUUAUGACAUGCGGUUGACCAGUUCAGAAAUCGCUAUGGCUGAGCGAGAAAUUGUCACUGAAAAGAUGGAUGGGGUGUACCGUCUGUGAGCCUCAACAAUUGAUGUGUUAGAUGUUUUGACUGAGAUCAUAGGAUGGGAACACCUUUCAAUUACCAACACGCUGGUUGAGAGAUUGAAACUAAAAAGAUAUACAGGAAUUGUGUGACAGACCAAGAGAUCACCCAAGGAACCGAAUCGCCCCAAUCAGAUAGCUCGACUGGUCACAACUGCAGUCCAAAAUACCAGACCAAGAGAUCACCCAAGGGACCGAAUCGCCCCAAUCAGAUAGCUCGACUGGCCACAACUGCAGUUCAAAUGCCAGAUCGGAAUUCAUCACUAUAGUACCGUAUUCACCAGUAAGGUUUUAUCCAGGAUAACAGAGUAGCAUCUGGGAUUGAUCUCUUCAGUAUGUUGGAUUCACCAGUAACGUUUAAUCCAGGAUACCAGAGUGGUAUCAGGAUUUGAUCACUUCAGUACUGUAUUUACCAGUAACAUUUUAUCCAGGAUACCAGAGUUGGCAUAUGGGACGAUCACUUCAGUACCCUAUACCAGAGUACAUUAUGUAUCUUGGAUCGAUGACUUCAGUACUGUAAUCAUCAUGUACAAUUGAAAUAAGAGACAAAAAUUGCAUAUGUAUCAAAUGCAGAGAAAUGUGUCAAUUUUCUUGCAGAGUAUUCCCCUAUCAAUAGAUCAAUACAUCAUAGUUUAUUACAGUCAUCUUGUCAGUAGGCUGCUAAACUCUUGCUGGGGGGCGGGGGGAAUUUACUAUG